rnacentral:lncRNA from 1 species
UAUCCUCCAGUUAGGUUCCCAUUUGGACCUUCAGAUUCUGUUGACUCCACUGCUGGGCUCACAAUCCUAUAAUUCACCGGUCCAUCCAACUCUUCCAGGCCUGAAACUCACAUACAUCCCUGGACUUAGUUUGUGCCCAGAGAGAACAUGAAGAAGAAAUGUGUAGCCUGCUGAGCCUUGCCUCAGUUACCAGCACCACACUAUCACAUUCUAAUUGCUCUUCUCUGCUAUCAGUUUUCUUUCUUGUAUGUCUUGUAUGUCUUUCUUGUAUGGUUUCUGACCCAGAGCUUGACCUGACUAUGGUAACAGUGUCUGUCUCAGGACUCUUGCUUCCUUGAAACUCUGAGAGCCUUCUUGGCCUCUGGGAUAUCACCUUACUCUGAUAUUUGGCUGGAACACACUCAGACCUCCCCAGCCUUAACUUUCUAGUCACCAUGGACCCAGAACUUCUGACUCCAAAUUCAGUGUUCUCCCCAGGAUGCUAUAAUAUUAUCUGUCUCCUAGAUUCUACUCAAAAGAAAAUAAUUAUUCCAUGAAACAAUUAUUCUAUUCUCAUUGAUAGAAUAGAAAUAGUAAGAGUUCCUAUACCACAAGAUUCAGAUAAGAAUGAACAGUGAAUAAUCUCAAGUGCACUGAAUACUGUAAAGGUGGAGUGUUCUCUGAAUGUGUGAUGCGUACAAAGCAGUCACAUGACUGGACCUUCUGUCUCAUGCUUUUUAACAAAAAGCCUGGGAAAUGGUGGGAAAUCAAGGCAUAAAAGGUAUGAAA